GCCUUCGUGGUGUAACGAUAACACACUCGACCCGUAUUCGAGAGGUCCAGGUUCGAGUCCCGGGGAGGGCA
rnacentral:tRNA from 1 species